rnacentral:tRNA from 1 species
GGCCGGUUGGCCCAAUGGCAAGGCGUCUGACUACGACGUAUCGUGGAAUCAGGAGAUUGUGGGUUCGACCCCCAUGCUGGUCA